rnacentral:tRNA from 1 species
UCCCUGGAGGACUAGUGGUUAGGCCACGGCGUAACCUCUCACUGCUGCAGCCCGGGUUCAAUUCCUGGCCAGGGAA